rnacentral:rRNA from 1 species
GCAAGUCGAACGAGAGACCUUUGGAGCUUGCUUUGAAGGUUUUCUAGUGGCGAACGGGUGAGUAUCACGUGAGCAACCUGCCCAGAAGAGGGGGAUAGCCCGAGGAAACUCGGAUUAAUACCGCGUGUGAUCCCGCAGGACAUCCUGCGGUGAUGAAAGGUGGCCUUUGUGCUGCCGCUUCUGGAUGGGCUCGCGGCCUAUCAGCUUGUUGGUGAGGUAACGGCUUACCAAGGCGACGACGGGUAGCUGGUCUGAGAGGACGACC